CGAGGUGGUUCGUCGAACGUGCACUCUAAUAGAUAUAUCGGGAAACCGGGACGAUCAAUUGAACGACUCUGUAGAGGAUGAUCUGAAAGGAGAAACACUGAAGAAUUUACGGUGAGCGUAGUACAACCCCCACGAAAAUGAACGUGAACUCGCUUAACGUAGGGCAGACCCACAAAUCAACUUUGACAUAGGUAACCGAUAUAUCCUAUGUUGCAAAAUUAGAUGGGAGAUGGUAUAUAUAUAUAUUUGUUCGCCGAGAUAACUCAAUUGCGUGAUCAAUGCCGCAACGAUAUGCCACUGCGUUAGGCGAAUUAAUAUCUGCCCCAGAUUACGUUCGAUCUAACGGAAUAUACGCGAGGCUAACGUAUAUGCUCAAAGUCUACGCAACGAAGGUUUCCGAAACGUGUUACCGCUAAUAGGGCAUGUUAAUUGCACGCGUUGUAAUGAGGACAGUCACCCCGAGGAGGUGCACCCUCCGUCCGCAAGAUUCUUCCUUUGUGUUCUCUACGGAAUUAAAUCACCGCAAUUAACUCGUAUCCCUAAGUAGCGAGCGUGAUAACGAGGCAGAUAAUGGAUAAUAACGAUUUAUAUGCUAUACACAUUUGAGACGCGCAACGUACGUAUGCACGUAUAUCGCCGCAUCUUGAAUAUAAUAAUUAAAUUAAAAGAGUCGGAGAUAGAUGCCAAUUAGGACAUCAGAAUUUCCGCAAUUUGUAACAGCAGAACGAUAAAUCUCUCGCUCGCACAGUCGAAAAGCUCUUGAAUAUCUUUUUUUCUUUUGCACGGUUAAUAAAAAUUUCCUGCUUUCAUUCCAGUGCCGGUUGAUACGUCGAUUACCUGAUAAAGAGGAACGGGCGGAUCGAUCGUUUUGCACACCGGCCGAGGUGGCACAAGUCAAGAGAGGUCGAUCGCGAUAAUUCGACGUUGUUUACGGAACAAAGGCGUGGCGAACCACAUAUCUGCCACAUCGAUAUUUUCGAUACAAUCUUUUUUACACUCCCGCAGACCCCCCUCCCCUCCCCCCCCCCCUCUCGCCCGCAGACCCGAUUAUCGGCGUUAAUCGGGUUCUCGCGCGAUACCAUCGAUCCGUCGAGCGAGCGACUCGCUGUCGGGUCAACGAACCGAAUCGGACGAGAGGUAAUUAUGUGUUGAGACGUGACGACAGAAAUCGACAGAACGAGUGAUGGCACGAACGGGUCCCAAAACCCGAGCACGGGUUCAUCAUCCUCCGACACUUGGAGAAGAGAGAACGUGCGCGAAUCUGUCUCGCUCAAUUACGCCAGCUCUAACCAAGAAGAGAGAGAGAGAUAGAGAGAGAGAGAGAGAGAGAGAGAGGCGAGAGCGCCGAAUCGAUGAACGGAACGCGAUAAAACGCGCCGGCGUUUUCGCGCCGCCAAAUAAUUUAUCCGUCUAAUUUCGAUCGCGGGCAACGCGUCUCGCGAUUCGUCUCGGCUCGGCGCGCGGCUACGGCCUAUCGCCCUCCUACAUCUGCCCCGGGGAACCCGGGAUUUCUCGGCUGGCGUUACCAGUGACAUACGAGCUAAUUAAAGUGAACCGUUUCUAACUGUAUGUAACGCGCGAUCGUAUGAUCGCGUGGCGAUCCGAGCUGCGCUUUCAUUCGGCCUUAAGAUAUUUGUCGCUCCCUCGAGAGAAAUUGUGUGUGAUGGUUCGUUGAAUUUGGAACAGGAGUUCGAGGGCGAUCGGAAUGAACGGAUAUGUUGAUAAAUGUGACAUUCCCAGUGCUCCACUUUAACAUUUUCUCUAUAAAAUCGAUAACGAUCGAAGAACGUGUCUUUCGUAUAAAAUAGAUGGAGAUAUGUAUCUGGCAAACAAUAUUUUUUUUUAUCUGUGUAGUAAUCUGACGAUAAGGCUCUCUAAACAUUUUUUAGGAUAAAUUCAUAAAUUUAUAUUAUCACAAUUAUUACGUACAAUGAUAAAAUUGACAAAAAGUAAGAGUAUUAAAGAGUAUUAUGUAUAUUCUGCAUGUAGGAAAUUAAAAUGGAUUUGUCUGCCUAAGCGGAUGUUUUGCGAUUACAUAAUCCGAGAGAAACAAUCCUUAAUUUUUCAGUUUGAAUUAUUGAUAUGGCUGCAUCAAAGGAGAUAUCUCGAAACGGUGAGAAAUCGAGUUAUGCUAAAGAAAACGGAAUUGGAUUUAUUGUAUUCGGCCUCGAUCCGUCGGCAUUCCAGACGAGGUCGAUAUCGCGAUCGGCAAAACGAACGUUGUUAUACAACAUGCCGUCCUUGAAACGCAUAAUACGCCUCCGCAUCUUACGUCCGUUUUACCUUCGCGAAUCGACUUUCUUUAUUACGUUGAGAGGCAUCACGGCAACGCUAUAUCGGAAAUAAGGGCGAAUAAUGUCCAAAAAAGCUCAAACAUCAAUUAUUUAUAAUCAAUUCUCUCCUUUGAGACAUUGCAAAAAUGACAGAGUUAAUUAUUAACUAUAUGUAGAUUUUUUAUUAAAAUUUGUCGUUGGUAUAAUGAAUUUAUAUUAAAUUUAACUAAAUUCAUCUAUUUAAUAUUAUUCAAGUUAUAAAUAUCCACUACCUAGUAUUGGUUAAUUUUUUUCAGUCUGAAAUAUUUUUUUAAUGCAAAUUAAAGGCAAAAGACGGAGAACUGUUUGACUUCAAGUUAUUUAAUCUGAUUGUUGUGUGACGUUACAUUUAGUUGUAUAAAUUAUUUGUGCAAUAAUACAUUUAUAGAUUUAAAAUGUAUUAUUGCAUUUACGUGUUUUGAUCGCACGUGCUAUGAUCGAGCAAUUCAUCACCGACGUUAUCGAGCGAUGAGCGUAACAAGGUGAGCGCUCGAAGAUGCUACUCACUUUUUCUUCUUCUUGCUAUUUGUUCUUACAUAUGAAAGCGGAAACUGCUGCCCAGUCUACAUUCCUGCUCGCGUACUCGACAAUUCGACAAGAUACCAUAUAAAUCGAAUUGCCGUGAAACCGGCGGGACAACGACAAUUCGCUACAGACGAAGCUGAUUGACUAUUGAAUAACGGGAUUCAAUUGUACCUACCAAAAAUAGAGACCCAAAAUAUCGCCUCUUCCUUUACAACAGUUAAAACGCAUCGCAACUUUGAGAAUGAUUUCCACAACGAGUUUGAAAAUUGAUCCUUUUCAGCAAAAAUAUCGGAAAAAAAAAUAGAAAAAAGUUUUGAUUCAAAAUAAAAAAAAUGUAAUAGAGUGAUAUAAUUUCUUAUUUAUUUUUAAAUAGAAUAAUGCCAAUUUUAAGAAUUUUAUUUUAGGCUCAGACAUAAUUACCAACAGAUUUACUGUUAAAAUAAAAAAGGGAAAUUUAAAUUUUUGUAAGGAAUUAAAAUUAAAUAAAUCAACUCCAAUUUUGGAGUCAAAGAAUUCAUUCUUGAAGAAAUAUCCUAAACAUUAUAGUAAUUUACAUUUUCAUUUAAAUUACAAAAUUAAAACACAAAUAUUUAAAUGCUAAAUUAAAACUGCCAAAAAUAUGAAAAUGAUUGUGAUCGAUGAUACAUGCACAUAUUAAUAUCGCAGUAAGGAGAGAUACGAAGAGAGUAGUUUAUUUAUAAUCCAAAAGGCUAAACGCGACAGGGACGAUAUUCAGCGAGUCAUUUAUCUUAAAAAAAAAAAAAAAAAAAAUGCAUACCGAUCAAUAGCCACUAGUACAUCAAGUUGAUCGUCGAAUAAAACACCAGGAAAUAUUACGACGUCCAACUAUGCGCGUAAGUAUCUCGAGAGAAAAUACGACACAGUAGCACCUCGUUAUCGUUGUCGUUCAAAAUCGCGUUAAUGCCAAAGUCAUCAUUAUUAAGUCGAUCGAGGGGCAGCGAAUGACCCGCCCAACAGUCAAUUAUAUUUGACGCGGUCGUUCCGGCUGUGUGGCGACACAAUGCAGCACAUCGCCAAUUUUUUCCUUGCGGUCGAAUCUCUCUCCCGCUGCGCUCUCGCGUCUCCGACAUUUAUCGUCGAGCUCGCGCGCUCGAUCCGUUCGGGUUUUUCGUUCGGGUUUCCUGCCGGCACAAGGCCGCUUAAUGGUACAACGAGACGUUGAGAAAAGCCGUGCCAGACCGAGACCGUAACAACGCGACAACGACGGACGUAUUGUAUUCCGCACGCGGUAGCCAGCGUCGGGGGAAUACCGUCACCAUUAAAAGUCCAGUUUUAUCGCGAGCGAGACUCUCCCGAGUCGGAUGAGAGCGGAGAGCUGCGUUCCAGCAGACGAGACGUUUCAGCUUACGCUCGAUGCGACGUAAAAUCCGUGAAUGCGCGCGAGUACGCCUGCUGGUCGUUCCGCCCUCUCGUUCGUGCUCGUUCGCGAUUCCCGCCGUACGAUCGCGAAACAUUUUUACACGGGACACUUUUAUGACCGGGGCCGAUCGCUCGGAUGGAAUCGAAUGUCCACCGUCCAGCGGACAUACUCGCGCACGAUCGCAUCAAGACCCUUCAUCACGAGCCCUCUUUCUCUUUUUCUCUCCCCACCUUCUUCCGGAGAAGGAUACGCUGGCAUUCUCCCUUCGAGGAGAUGAAGGACGAAGCAGCGAAUAAGGCAAGGGUAUUAAAUGCGCUAUCACGGAAAUUGAAUUGGAUCCAUCUCGGUUAUUUAACUUUUCGCCGAGUAUAUGGAAAAAAGCAGCACUUUAUGAAAUCUUUCUACUCCCUUUUAUUUCCUUAUUUGUUCAUAAAAUAUUAAAAUUUUUUUCUUUGUUCCCUAAUGUAUGUUUCUUUCUUCUUAAUAAUAUGAAUCGUUAAUAAGGUAUUUAAAUUUCCCUGCUUUUAUUAGUUAUUGAACUUCUUCCUUAUAUUUGUUAAGAACUCUUAUUUUACACUUAAUUAAAUUAAUAUCGAUAGCCUCUUAAUUAACUUUCUGGACUCGCUAGCUUUUCUAUCUCUUCACGAUAUUAAUAUCUGCUCAAUUAUUCUAAUGAGACUUCCUUAUUCCGGAAUAAUCAAUAGAUUUAUUCUCUUCGUUUCUCCCUCCCCUCCCCGUUGAUGCGUCUACACUUUGGCAAUUAAAAGAUUCCUUUCUAGCGAUCCAAAAAGACAUGUGCGAGAAGGACGAGGAAGAGGGAAAGAGAGAGAGAGAGAGAGAGAGAGAGAGAGAGAGAGAGAGAGAGAGAGAGAGAGAGAGAAAGAGAAAGAGAAAAGGAGAGAGGAGAGGGGGAGAAAUAUGGAGACGGGAGAAAGGAGCGUGCUGCGCUCGUACCCCGACAUUAUGACGGGGAAUAUAGCGCGAGUGUGAUGUAUGGUGCAAUUGGUCGUUCGACAUAGGAUGCAGGCGGAGGUAGGAUGACGGAGGGAGGAUACGUCCCUCCUCGAUCCACCAAAUAAUUGAUGCAUGUUCGAGCCUCCGCAGGGUUCAACGGAUAAUGAUGGGGGUCCGGGGCUCUGCCUGGACUCCCCGGGCUCCGCAGUUGCAUCCUGCAAAUCCUCCCCCCCCCCUCUCCCUUCGUCCUCGCCCUCCCCUUCCCUCACCACAACUGCAGACAUAGACUUCCUUCAUCCUUCGGCAGAGUCUGAGGGGGGACCUUCUACGCUACCAUGCUAAAUUGGAAUCCCCCCUUGAAACGGACCGGCGUGAUAGGUACCGUCACGGUUUGUACGUCAAAUAUUCUCCAUAUUGUAAUCUAAAUCUUCACUUUAUUACGAGGCAAUUCAACUCGUUAGAGAAACAUAUGUGAAUUAUACGCGACGUUUAUUGUAACAGUGACACAUGAUAUGACACACAUUUUGAAACAUUUUUGCAACAAACUGCUCGACAAAAUAGAAAACUAAUAGUUUCAAUUGCACGUUGCAAUUUUUUCUUAGAUACAAAUAUAUUUAAGUUAAUUAUAAUUCGUGUAUUUCGUAUCAUAAGAAUUAACACACACUUGUAAUAUAAGCCAGUAUGCAAAAUUGUGAGUAAAUAACAAUAAAUAACAUUCUUCUCGCCAUUUUACUUGUACGACGUCGUUACGUCGGCCUGCGUUUCUUCGGCGAAUUGUCACCGAUAAGCGGAAAUGCACGACCGAUAUAUUUGCAAUAUAUUAUCGUCAAGAGGAGACAAAAUCCGCGCGAUCUAAAAAUAGCGGUCUCGCAGCAAGACGGACGUUAUGUGCGCGGACGCCUGCCGAUAUGUAUUAGCAUUCCGCCGGCAAUCGCGCGAGGUAUUUCGAUAAUUCGACGAAGACGUGUCGCCGAUCGUGAUCGGCGAACGAAUUCGCGAAACGGGGUGAGCAGUAUAGAGCACCGAUGCGUUUCACGCGUCGCAUGCGGGCGAGCGUGCUCGUACGUGCACGCGUGUGUGUCCGUGUAUGUGCGUGUCACUUGAGAGACAGAGAGAGAGAGAGAGAUUCCUCCGUUUCUACGCUCGCAUAAUAACCCCCUCUCGGUAUGUUUAAUCAAGGAAGAAGAGACGAAUAUAUCCGUGUAAACGCCAUCGGAAUAUCUCACCUUUCGACAUUCGACGUAAGAUCGACGUAACAACAGAAAUACGGAAAUUUCAAUUAUGCUCGUGCCCAAAAAUUCCACUUUUAGAGUCGCCUGAUUUAUAUACUCGUCGUCGCGGUGAACUAAUAGUAUCGAUUAUUAAAUAGAACGAACCUGAACGAGGUAAAAAAAGACUUUCGUGCUUUUUUUUUUAUUUAUCGUUAUCUACAAAAGCAAAGAGGGAGGGGCGAAGAGGUAACGUCUUCACAUAUAAAACGUCUCUAACUCAUUCUCCGUUACGACCGUAUACCGCGAUUCGCGUAUCUGCCGCGAUAAUUAAUCGAAUAAUGGUAUGGAAAUAUUGCAGCGGAGAUUUUUCCCAGCGGCCCCGGGGGUCGGCGACCUCCUGGCUCGUCGAGGACCCCAAACGUAACGUAAGUACGUAUACGCACUUACACGCGUCCGCAGAGACGUUCACACGUGCGACGACGUAGAGUGUCGGUAUCACCGCGCGAGAAUGUCGAAUGGAAUUACGUCAAGAGGAGAUAUCCUACUCUGUGGGUUGGCGCGGGUUUACCGUUUUGCCUUCGGAGCUGAGCAUCUCUUCUUCUUCUUCUUCUUCUUCUUCUUCUUCUUCUUCUUCUUUUCUCUUCGCCUUCGCGCGGCGCGACGGCUCAAAGGUUACAAACGCACUGACCCAUGCGUGUCACCGUUAUUCCCAUUGAUUUUUCCUCUCGAAAAUCCCCAGAGCGUGCGAUCGGGUGGGUUUUCAGUUCUCUCUCUCUCUCUCUCUCUUUCAGUCCCGGCACGUAGGAAUCGAAUCGACGAGCUCGAGACGCUCGCUCCCGCGAAGAGGAAGAUACGCGUCAUUACCUUAUGUAGUACAUGGGAAGCGACGGAGAGCCGGAGAGCGAGGUUUUCCAGCAGCCCGAGCUACUGUAUUUGCAUGAUUGACGGACUCUCGGAAGAGGAAAGGGAGAAGGAGUAUGUGAUAACCCUCAAUCGCGAAUGAAGGUACGGACGGCGGCCCUCCGUCCUAUUUGUCCCGAUGCGCGUACUUAUUAACGUUGUUGCGGCCUUAAUCACGGCUGCUGCCAGUUUAAUCUCCAGUGUAAUUCUGGAUUUCCCUUCUGGCUCCGCUCGAUUGAUUAACCGCACGGAAAUCCCUUCUAAUCUAUCUUUCGUUCGUCUUAAAGGGAAGUAUAUAGAGUGAUGGAUAUUGUGCGAUAUCGUAGAUCGCCCGAAGCCGGGCAACUUCUCCGUGGGACGGUGCAUCAAGACAAUCAGAGCCGAUAUAAUUAUAUUCAAAUCUCGUCGGUGUGCGACACACACACCGCGCCAGCUGUUAUUGCCUGUGUGCUCGAUGUUGCAGAAGAUUCGAAUUAAGAUGUACACAAGUAUACUUUUCAAAUCGUUAGUCCAAUAAAUAACGCGUUCAAUUUGCUCGAGCUCUCUCGCGAUCGCGAGGAUAUCAUACGCCGACAGCGAAUAGCGCGUUUACACGCUUUAAAAUUUAUCGGUAAAAUAAUUCAGCUUCCCUCGUAAUCGCGGCACUCAGCCUGACGGUAGAGUAAAUCGUGGGAGCCCGAAGAGAUUCCCCGGCGGCUCCUCCUCGAAGAAGGAUCGAGGAGGAGGCCGUGCAAACACAGAGAGAGGCGGUCCCUCUCGCCGGGUCGCCGAGACGACUCACCCUCGAUAUUAUCGGGACGCAAACCCUCCCUGGCAACCCUCCUCGCACACAGAGAGAGAGAGAGAGAGAGAGAGAGAGAGAGAGAGAGAGAGAGGAGAGAGAGAGAGAGAAAGAGAGAGUCGAGACGUUCUAUCCCCUCGUGGCGGCGGAUUGCGACGUUAGAAUCGAUCUGCGACACUGGGUUGUCACUGCACGCGCGAACGCGCCUCUCGAGCGCAUCGACCGUAUGCGUCGCGCCGAGGAGAAGCGCCCCUGGGCUAAGCUCCAUCUUGCCUUACGCCCGUCAAAUUGAAUCUUGAUGCACUCGGUUGACCGCGGCUGCUGUUACCUCUAAUCCAAUUCCUACGGGAAUCUCGCCGUACGCACCUAGUACCUGUACGUAACUCGAGGAGAUCGAAAAUUUCCCAGGCAACGGGUUUUGAUAUCUUCCGAUGUCGGCGCAAAUAGUACUUGCAAUUCUGCACUGAGAAAAAUAUUUAAUCGAAUAAUCCAAUGUUAUAGUGACAAACGGAUAUAUCUAAUGAAAGUUGUAUAUCCGACGGGAAAUCAAAUCGGACAUAUCCAUCUUUCGUAAUUAUGAUCGGAUAAUAUAUUUUUUUUUAAUGUGACGUACCAACGAGAGAGAAGAAAAUUCGUGAUGUCUUACGAGACGCCCUCGUUUUAUUAAAUUCCUAGUAGCAUAGUGCAGUACAUUGGAUAAUAUUGGGUAUAUAUUGAUUAAACAUUGGUUAUAUUGGGAAUACACUGGCCAAUAUUUUUCUAAUUAGUGCCAAUAUUGGUCACAAAAAAUAGAUUCCAAAUUAAGAUGUAAUUAAUGUCCAAUAUAAAAAAUAAAAUGACUAUUGUUAUCUAACAUUGUUAAACCAAUAUUGGUGUCUAGACAAAUUGACUAAAUAGAGUAAACCGCCCACUUUGAACUAACAGGAGACAUAGACUAACAAUUGAAGAUACUGUGCAUUAAAAAAUAAAGAUUAAAUUAAAAUUUACGUCAUUUCCCAAAAUUGCGCUAAUGUUUUGUGCUAAAGAUAUCGCGAAGAAAAAAGUAUUCGACUCCACAGCCGUGCAUAGUUGGCCGUUGUAUUUUCGCGUCUCAAGAUUGAAAAGAAUCGUCCGACGAUCUUGCCGUUCGGAGUUCGCGAAGUGGCGUGACUUAAUGUAUCGAUCGCUGCAGUUGCACGCGGAAAUAUCCCGUCGGAAUAUAUUUCAACGGAUACGAGAGUGCGGUGUGUGGUGCCCGCGUGUUGUUAGGUUGCAACGACCCGGGCAUCUUAAGCGCGCAAGUUUGUCUCGAACGUCUUCCGGGCCUUCUUCUCAAGGCUGUCGCUCGCACCACGGAUCUCGGUGCGGAUACCGUUAACCGGUGAGUUUUACCGGCCCCGAAGACACGUAACCGUCUAAUAACAUUAAUAACAAGAAAUGCCUCGUAGGUGGCCGCGGACCGAGGGAGAUUUUCAUAGAUUGGUUCGAUCAGGGAAGAGUAUCGUGCGCCGUCGAAGUGUCAUUACGCGUAAGUACGGCAUGCAUCAUAUGAUUACGGCCGUGAUGUCAGGCAGUAAGGAAACGAUACUCUCAAGCGACUUCAAUUAAAUUACCCGUCGAUACGGGCAACGGCGAAUAUAUUCAAUAUUCGCGCGGAGAUUGCAAGUUAUUAUCUCGACACGUACUUUACAGUGGGAGGAAUUACCUUUGUCGGGAAAGUCGGCAACGACCGAGUCGCGUCCCGCGAUGUUUCGACGGGUGGAUAAGAGAGCGCAAUCUCUCCCCCUCCCCUCCUCUCUCUCUCUCUCUCUCUCUUUCUUUCCCUCCACCUGUGCCGUAAUUUUAUCUCUCGCAUCCAUUUUUCGAGGACAUCAAACAUUCAGAUAGGGAACAAGGUAAAUAGAAUAUAACGGAAUCCCGGAUAUUGCCUUAUCAUUACGACACGGGAGAAAAGUUGUCGAAAUUAUAAACUCGACAGUUUUAUAGAUGUAAAUUUACGAAGCAGUAUAUAAAUUGUUUUUUAUGCAAGAGAGAGAGAGAGAGAGAGAGAGAGAGCUUUAAAUCUUUAUUAUCCUAAUUUCGUUUCGCGUAGAGCCUCGUCGGACUCGGGAAUGUGAAUACGAUAUGAACGCCAAUGGCGCAUUCGGGCAAUCUAAACGAGCGCAGACACCACUACGAGCGUUGUCAUGCGGGGACCGUUGGGUCCGUACCUUCACGCGCGAUCGACCGACAGAUACAUCCCUCCUGUUACCCGUGCCCGCUUCCUCGGACUCGCGCUCGCGCGCGCAUGCACGCACGCACGCACGCACGCACGCACGCACGCAAGCACGCAAGCACGCGUGCACGCGUGUACGGAACGCAUGCAAGCCUCGUGAGAACGGCGUUCUCCCGAUUCUAUUGGCGCCACGCCGCGCCGUUUCUCAAUGCGAUGGAAGAAGAAGAAGAAAUGCGGAGCGCGACAAAUUUCUGCACCUCUCGACAGCUCUUAUUCCGAAAUAAUUGCCAAAUAACAAUUUAUACUAACGACAAAUAUUAAUUUGCAUUAUAGAUAUAAAAUUUAAUUUUUAAUUAAAAAUAAUAACGGUAAUAUAUAUAAGUGGUAAUUAUCAGUUUCAUUUUUUGGGGGUAUUUGUACAUUAUAUGUAAAACAUAUAAUUUAAAUUAUUUUUGUCGAAUUGAGACCAUUGUUACUUUGUGAAAGAACAAUUAAAUUCUAUCAAAGAUAAGUUCUCCUAACUUCAUCUUCAUGUAAUGUACUGUAUGUAUGUACAUGUGUAUAACGAUAAAGCAUACUUAUUUUCUAAUAUGUGCACAAUAAAAGAUGCUUGUCUUCUCGCUAUAAAUAUUAAACGCUGGAUAUAUAGGAAGAGGCUCAAAUAUCAUACUCCUCUCUUCUUAAUAUCGUCCCUUGUAGUAUAAUACUUAUUUCGCCAUCUGACUGUACAUUCUAUAUGCUCAGCCUCCAUAAAAAGCAGACGGCAUUCGAAUCCUCUUUCCGCAUACAUCAGUUUCGCGAUUGUGCAAAUAUUGAUACGUCGCUAUUGAUCCAAGUACUAAACGGCACGUAUCAGAUCCGAUACGCAUAUCUGUCGUGCACGCGCUUACACAUAUACUGCGUACGCACGUUACGCACGGGAUAGGAUACCUCGUGCGCAUCGCGACGAUACGAGGCGGUAAGACAUUGCACAAUUCCAUCACGCGUGUGAACGCGAAUUGGCCACCUGGCCAAUAUAAAUAAAUAAUGACUAUUAGUAUGCGGGAUGUGCGAGGUCGUUUACGUGAUCGAUUGCCCGGCGCGAGUAUCGUUACACGUAUGUAAUCGGUCCGUAAUCGCGUCCGCCAGGGAUCCCCGGAGUACAGAUACAUACUCACUUGAUUUGUCGCGGGGCCAUGAAGGGAGAGGGAAAGAAAUUUGAAUCCUUUAUUUUCUCCUGCACGGCUAUUCGGCUUUCGUAUAAAAAUCCGCUCAAAUUAUCCUCAGUAGGAAAUAUAAUAGUCUCACCUACGCGGACCUCUCGGUCGGCUUCGUUCGUAGUCGGCUUCGCGCCUACAAAAAUAAUUUGCAAAAUACGUAAAACGAAGAGUCUGGUUUGUGAGAUAAGAACCGUCUAAGUCUAAAAUAAAAGAUUUGCUACGGGGUCGGCGACCUUUGUAUUGAACGUGUUAAUUAUAUGCGCGCGCUUCUCGUUUAAAAGAUACUCAUUCCAGCCACGGUCAACCUCCAGCUCGGUCGAACGAAUUUCACUUGAGUGUACGUUCUUAAACGUCAAUCAAAAUUUAAUUAGUUAACGUUGGUUCGAUUUAAAUCAAUUUCAUAUCGCAGGAAAUGGCGCAAAGUAUAAUAAAGGAUGCCAUCUCGUAACGCGGUACUAGAACAAUUUUCGCAGUCAAUUAAUUGCAACGUAAUGAGCACGCGCAAUGAGGUAUCGCGGGUAUACGCGAACGUCGUGUGUUCACAUUGCAUGGUUAAAAUCAAAGUGACAAUAUUAUCCGGCUUACGUCAGUGGCUUACGGAGCGGCUCUCUCGUAUCUCGCCAGAAUCCGGAUGCGAUCGAUGACGCGCGCUCCGCGAUGCUCCGCAGUUGGUGCAGCGACGGCGAUUAACGACACUCGUAUAAAGUGACGGUUGUGCCUCUGCGCGAUGCGCCGGCAGUUUACGAGCGUGACUCACGCCAGCGGAGAUUCCAGUCGUUCAGUCGCUUUGACGAAAAGGAAACGAAGAAGCAACCUGCUAAUGCAAUACAGCAUAUUGCGCGGCGGCGGCUGCUUCAGUGCAGCAGGUAACGACAAAGUCGCCUAACGUAAAGCGCUUGGGCAAAGGGAAGAAGUCAACGGCCAGGACGAUGUGCAUUUAGCGGUCGGAAAGAGCAUUACCUAACACACGGCGCGAGAUUGGAUCUGCUUGCGCGGACGAGGACGAGGAAAAACGAGUGGACGACUUCCUACAUAGAUAAAGAUCACCGCGGACGAGUAUCCUCUUUAACCGACGAGGUCGAGCCGGUCCUAGGCAUUGUGCGAUUCCUUGAAUUAAUCGGGGCAUUUGUCGAUGUACCUCAUACCUCUUCCUCGAGCGCAAUUCAAUAAAAUUUCUCGAUGGUACGAAGCGAACAUCAAAAGGAUUAAAAAAAGUCUAUAGAAGUCCUUUUACUUUUACUUUUUUUAUUCCUUUCUAUAUCGACCUUACUCUUCACGUGUGUUAAGAGAGGGAAAAAAGUAGAAUCGGAGAUAACAGAAUUGCUGAUUCUGUCUGAAAAUGAGUGGUCAUCCACGAUUUGUAGUAUUUGUACAGUCCACAGCUGUACUACUGUAUUUUGCAUGUUAAGUUGAAUAUUAAAAUUUCAAAUCAGAUAACUGACACUUGGGUAUUCAUUCGCACACUCAACCGUGACAAUCGUAAAGCCUUGUGUCCGCGAUUCUAGAAAUCGCUUUCGGAUCUCACGGACCAGACAAAGAAAAAAAUAAUUGACCGAUCGUAUUUUAACAAUACGGACAAUUGACUAAUGUAAUUGGUCUCUCCUCGUCCGAGAUCUCGGAGCAAUUUUCCCAGGAUCCCGCGUUAUACGCAAGGCUUACCUGUUAUCGAGCGCAUGUCAAUUCCAGAACGCUAUUGCUACGUCGUCAUCGUGCCACGCGAAAGGGCCCACAAUGAGCGAGCUGUCGCGUCAUGUAAGGGAGGCAUCGGGGUUGCCGGGACGGCGAAGAGGAGCCCCCCCCCCAAAAAAAAAAGAAAGAGGAAGAGGAAAUGUGCGCGGAGAGUGCAACAAACUGCGAAAUAUAAUAGGUCUGAGUUACGGCCGCGGCUGUGUGGUCCUGCUUUGACCCCCGGUCGCGCGAGGUAGUUAGGCUUUAAGGCUCGACACGCGGUGCAUGACGUACGCAACACGACCGCCGCCGUGAAGAGAGCGAUGGUAGGUGGUGGUAUAAUAAUGCGGCUUUCGCGAGCGCAAGGAGCUACGCGUUUGUUCGCCCGACGAUGUUAACGCCAGAUCGGCUCGCGCUUUUAUUACCGUAAGAUACCCUUAUCCGUGCCUCGUGCGCUAUCGCGAUGAUGCUGGAUCGCUGAUCAACCUGCUGCUGCUGCUGCAACGUUUACGAGGGAACUCCUUGCACGCCCAGAGAACAAUCUCUCAUCGUUUAAAUUAAGUUAUUUAACGCCACACCGGAACAAAGUGUUUACCCUGUGCUUAUAGUCUGGAUGAUAGUAAACGGAUGAAUGCAUAGACUACUCUCUAAAUUUCCUAGAGUGAAACAUUACUCUAAAAGAGUGAAAAUGCGUUCUAUAAGAAUUAGAGUGACAAAUCACUCGAACUUAGAUAUGUUCAAUUUUCACUCUUUUAGAGUAAUUUCACUCUAGGACAUUUAGAGAGUAGCAUGUAAAAUAUGUCGAGCUCUUUGCAAUCUUAUCUGAUUAAUAAUAAAAAUCAGAUUGAUAAUUACAGAAAUAGCGAAUAUUUGCUGUAAAGAUUACUUUCACGGAUAGAAUACUAUACUUUCUUUUUACAAAAAAAAAAAAAAAAAAAAACGAAACGUAAAAAACAAAUCUUGAAAUGUAAUAUUAUUAAAAUAAUAAAUUUCUUUUUUAUCACCAAUAAAACUCUCUAUCUCUUCUCUAUUCUUAUUUAUAAUUUCGUUUUUCAUUAAAUUUCACGGAAAGUUUGUACGAAUGUUAAGAAAAAAUCGACUGUUCCCACCAUGUAACAUUAUUCAAAGGACUUUUGGUCGCCCGAUAGAAACUUGUAAGGGCAGGAGCGCGGUUACCGCAUUCGUCGCGUCGCGCCUGCCGCAUUUCGUAACCCAGACGAGCCAGAAGCGCUCCGGCGUAUGCAGAAAACGUAUUCACGAGUGACCUGUGCGUGAAAGGCGAGGAACAUCGCCUCGACUCGUUUCUCGAUGCCUACCUGCAUCCGCAAACAUUGCAUAAGAGUUCGGAAAUGGAAUUUAUGAAGGCUCGAAGGGAGAAUGACGAUCGCGCGACUGGACACGUAACGGAUGAAAUCAUUUUUACGAAAAUUACGUCAUGCCAACAGGAACCUCAAAUGUCACUGUUGCGUCACUUCUCAAUUAAUCACGCGCAUAUUUCUUUAAAUUAUGUUAUAGAUUAAGAAAUUUUUAUUACGUUACUUUUUCAAGAUCCCUUUUUCCACUCAAGCUCUCUACAUAAAAUAUAUUUACUGAAUCUGCAAUAGAUCAUAAAAACUUAAGAAAAUAAAAUUAUUUGAAAUUUAAAAAAUGUAUACAAUAUACACGUGACAUGACGUUUCAAAUGUAGAAUAUGGGGGAAUUUUUUUAAAAUAAAAUUAUGAUAAAAAUACACGAACAAUAUCGACAAACCGUAUGAGCACAUUCGUGUAUCUUAAAUCGAAAGCAAUGUCAAAUUAAGAAUGAAAAAAAAAAAGAGUAUAGAAUAAUAAAAAUAAAACCUCGGCAUUCUCGAAAGGAGCAAACUCACAAAGAUCCCGAGACUGCGUUCGCCGAAAUUGUCGACGUUCGAUUAUCCCCGGCCCGGCGCGAUAAAAGAAGUUACGUCCAGGUCGAAGUGGCCGCGCGGGGAAGCCCACCCGGCGCGAUCGAGAGUCAUCCAGUCGCCGCGGCAUUCUGGCUCAUGGCCAGCUAACUUCGCCACCAGAACACACGAGUGAUCGGGGGGCCCCCGUGUACGUACGUACAUACGUACGUAGAUACACCCACACGCGGGCGAGUGAGAGAGCGUGGUGUGUGCCUGCCUGCCUACCACACGUGCAACGACCCCGUGAACUUGAACUUGCGCCGGGUCUCGCUCGGCUCGUCGCGCGGCUCAGCUCGAAUCGGCUUCGCCGAAACGUCGUUGAGCCAGCACGCCCGAGAAGAAAAGGGAACCCGCCUGCCCCUCGGGAUCACCGAUCCGAGCGACGGAAAAGGGAGAAAGGGAACUUCUCUCGCGGAGCGUCAAGUGGAUGUACGCGAGGGAGAGGUCCGUGCGUUCGUUCGCGGAAGGGGACAAGUCGGGAACGCAAGGAUGAUGUUAAUCGCUACCAGGAAACAGCGGGGUUCGCAUCAUCAUCGCGCCGCCGGACCGAUCUGCUGGGCUCUUCCUCCCGGCUUCUAAACUUCGAGAACGAAAAGGCGCGCGAGCCAACUAGAUUUCAGAUGCGCCGAGCGAGCGUGCGUGCACGCGGGCGAAUCUUUAUGCCGCCAUAUGGCAGCGGCAGAGCGGCCUCUUCUUCUCUCUCUCUCUCUCUCUCUCUGUCCCUCUCUAUGUUCUCCCGGCGGUUUUAUACUCCCGUCAGACAAGUGCAGGCUGUUGUGAAUGCGAUUACGUGCUUCUCGCAUAAACGCGAUGCCGUCGUGGCCGCUGCUGCUGCUGCUGCAGCAACGACCGACCGGUAGCCACCGCCGUCGCUCGUUCGAAUCGCUCGUCAAAUUGUCUCGAAGAAUCGGAGCGAAGAAUAAACCGUUUCGUCGACGAAAGAAUCGAUAAAGGUCUAUUUCUACCAAUGUAGAUUAAUUUUCAUCUCGGAUUAACUAACUCUUUACCUCUUUCUAAUUUUUGGAACUAGAAUGAGAUAACGAGUAAAUUAAACCGAGAUUAAAGUUAAUCUAAGUUGAUAGAAACGGGCCAUAAUGAUACUCGGUAAUGAUCCUCCGAGCAGACCGCAACGCAGCAGUUCGUUCGCACGAAGGAAUGAAGGAAGAGCUAAUCAUGAUGUGGGACACGAGCCAAAUUCACUUAGAGAGAGAAAGAGAGAGAGAGAGAGAGAGAGAGAUCUGAUUUAUUUACUCAACUUCCCAAUCUAAUCGUACAUUAGAUUCGAGAAUUCCCGAUUUUCAAGUUUACACGGAGAAAAAACAAAUUAACAAAACAUGUUUCGCUCAACAUAAUUUUGUUGGACUGAUUAGAACUUUUAGUUAUUAUGAUGAAAUAGCAAUGGUUGAAGUUUGAUUAUUGCUGAUUAUUAAUAUCUAAGUGUCUAGCUAGUUUAACUACAGAGAAUGAUUAAAAGAACGUAUGAUUGGUAAAAAUUAACAAAAUUUCUGAUUAUUAUAAUUACAAUUACUAUUAGAUUGCAAUAGUGUAGUUGCUUUCAUCAGAAUGCAAUCACAUUCAUUUGGUUACCCCUUACGUCAGAAUAUGUAAAACCAAACUUGCCUCUAUCAGAAACGCGUUACCAAAUUUGUUUGGUUAACUUAAUAAAAAGUUUGAAUCGUUCGCUAGAUUUUCACCGGACGGUCCAAAUUUCUAAUUCAAUCAAAUCUUUUCUCCGUAUAAAAAUGCAAACGAACAAUGAAACUCUUCAUUCAAUCUCUGCUAUUAUAAGAUAUUCAAUUUUUUAAAGAUUGAACAAAACGAACAGGAUUAAUCCCAUCUCUCGCAAAAAAAAAACUAUCCGUAAAAGGACCGACUUCGAAUUUAUCGCAAAAUCUGCGCAACGGCAGGGAUACACUCUGGUACACGAUAUAUUCGCGCAUAUCGCUUCUCAGCAGAAGAGAUCUUCGGGGCGUAUCGACGAUCGACAAUACCAAGCGGCAUCGCAAGCUCAUCCUUGGUGCAGAGGCCCGGGAGGACGAGGUAACUCGGUAUGCGGGUCACCCCGUUCGCCAGUGCGCGUAUCGCGAGAUGCAUUGUCCAAUCAGAUGGUAUGUUAACGUUAUCUCGCGGCCGCUACCGCAUAACUCUCGUGUUGGCCCUGCUUCACGUGCUCUUUCUCUUUCUCUCUUGGAUUCGCUCGCGCGCGCUUUUAUUAACACACGCAGUUUAUUGAAAUAUCUAUUGGAAAUUCGAAAUGUCUCUGCCUGUAACUAUUAUAAAUAUCUAUGACUUCCGUGAAAUUUUAAUCUAUGGAUAUCAAAAAAGUUAGAAAGAAUGCUUAAAACAUUUGGUAAUGAUUAUACACAUUGUAACAAAGAAACAGAGCUCGUAGAUAAAACAUAAAUCAGUCUUAUAUAUCGCGAGCAGAGGAUAAAAGAACAAUCGUAAGAUAAAACUCGCACAAUGCAAAAUGCUAAAUGUUCAUCGGCAUAUGGGUCUCUCGAUAUGUCGUUAAGUCUACGUCUACGUUGCGUACGCUUUCGUGGCACGGCAUCGACGGGUAUACAACAUGAGUACUUGUACCCUUAGUCAGGCGACAGACGAUCGCCUUUCUCAGAAUUAGAUAAGUCUCUUUAUUGGUGAUCAGAUCGCUGCAGCAACGGCAGCAGCAGCAGCAGCAGCAGCAGCAGGAGCAGCGACGACGGCAGCAAGUUCAAGGCUGACUGGGUAAAAAUAGCCAGAUCUUGCCGGACUCUCUCGCUGAACGCGCUGCUUCUCCCGCUGCUUCUGUUGACCGUGCUCAACCGGAAACGUCCUGUCCAAGACACUGAUUGCCAAGACAUUCCGAAGCUCAUCCCACCUCAAACUCUCGAACCAAGGCUCGCACCUGACUUUAAAGGCGAUCAAGCAAAUACUUCAUUCAAAAAUUAAAGUAUGUAAAACGCACUUUUAACACUAAUUUUUUAAACACUAGUACCAAACGGUCAUUUCUUACAGUUUCUAUUUUUAAGCUUAACAACUUAUAUGCAAGAAGUAUAGCUUUAAUAUUCAAUGUGCAAAAUAUACAGCUGAAUGACCAAGUUAACGACAUUUUUUUCUCUUUAAUGUGUUUUCAAUAGGUAAUCAAUACCCACCUUCAAUCUUUCUAGAUCUUUCUGUCUAGUACUUCUAGUGUUAAGAGAUCGCCGUUUGCCACUUAUUCUCUUAAUUCUUCAAAUUUCCUACGCUUAUAAUUCGUUUAAUCUUUCGAUCAAUAAUUUCCAUGUCGUAUUUUUUAUCAAGCCUUUUAUCUACGAAGUUCAUCAAACCAUUGUGUCAAUAAACAGAAAAAAGAUGUAAUAAAAUUCCUUCUUCAAGAUAACGUUUUUUUUUUUUUAAUGUGAAUACCCUGAAUCUUCUUGAGAUUGCAAAGUGGAUAAAUUCAACUACGAUAAAAACGUGUCUGUGAGUCCAAUAAUUGAGGAAAAAAAAUAAUCCACUAACAAAACCGGAUAUUAGGCGACGUAAGGCACGACUCGCGAUGACGACAUAAUGGAUAUUAUAAUUUGUCGAUCGUGAAAAGAAACGAAUACAUUACCGCCCGCUGAGGUGCCAUAACGGUGCUUGUUGUCGCUCGUCGCUUUCUCACAUGAAAAAUGUACCUACCUGUAAAAAAAAAUGUACCAUAUCACACAUCUCGUGUAGAAAAAAAAUAGUACCCGAGAUGAUUCAAGCGACCUUAGCCGUGCACUUAAAAAAAAAUGCCGUGCCGCGCGCGGACCUUCGACGAUGAAGAUAUAACGAGGUCGAGCGUGUCAACGACUCUAUCAUACGACGAGAGGUCUCCUCCGCGUACCUCGUAAGUCUAAAUCUGGCGAACUAGGUAAAGAGCACACAGGACAGGUCUAAUCUAGAAAAACUCGACGUGUCGGACCCCGAUUUCGCGAAUUUGUAAUGGCUUGACAAAAAUUAUACAUAUUAUAUGAUACCUCUAGUCAAAUAAAAUAAAUCCUUUAUUGGGAAUUUAUUCCAUACGACAGGAGGUAACGUAUAAUUAAUAUGUCAGCUGUAUAUGAUAAUAUUAACUAAUUUGCUAAAAACAGAUGGUAAACGGGAUAUGUAGAGAGAUAAAAUAAAUUUGAGAAUUUCGUUCUAAUAAAGUAGAGAUUAUUAUAUACUAAAUACCAUGUAAUUAUAAUAUAAUAAAGUACAUAAUGUAAUAACGCUAGUCUCAACUUUUUAUUGAAUAUUCAAAAUGGUAACACUAUUAGUAGCGACAUUUCUCAUAAUAUGUAAUAAACGAUUAGCCUAAAAUUUCAGCUUUCGUAGCGUCAUCCUCGCAGUUUUGUCAUUGUCAUUAUCAUCAUCAUCACCGUCUCGUCGUCAACGACAUCAUAUCGCAUUGUCAGUAAAAUCUCUUCUCAGAAAACAAGUGCAAAUACAUCGCGUUCUUUUGCUUCGUCACAUAAUAAUACACGUGUACAUAGAUUAGAGAUAUUGCGAGAAACUAGCAUAAAAUCGGUGACGGGGUGGGUGUAUUUAUAUAUGUAUAAUUAUAUAUAAAUGUGUUUAAUUAUAUAUAAUUAUAUAUACCUAUAUACAAUAUGGAUAUAGGUACACUUAUGGUGCGAGAGUUAUCUCGGAAGCGGAGAGCGUUGAAAGCGCGGGAUUUUGCUAGUCCACAUCCGAGAUAAAUCAAUUCUAAAAAUUACGACGUCUAUCUUACGUCAAACGUCUACCUAUAUUUCUCAGGCGUUUCACUCAAUCUCUCUCUCUCUCUCUCUCUCUCUCUCUCUCUCUUUCUUUCUUUCUUUCUUUCUUUCUAUUAAGCACGGGUUAACGUGAACUCAAUCGUGAGUAAGCCGAUCGGAGCAGCUGGUAACUACUCGCGGGAUCGACGUAUGCAAUUUCAAAGUUGAAAGACCGGAGUGAGUGAAGUGAAGUUAUAUUACAUCGAAACAAUGAAAAUGGAUUAUGAUACUCGGGGACGGAUAGUCUUAUCAAGAUGGCUUAUUCAUGGAUAGAGUGUCUAUUGCACCACUAUGACUAUUGCAGAAGAGAACUAUUGCGAUGAUAUUGUAAAUAUACUGUGUGAUAUGCCCGGAGUACAAUUGCAAGCUAUACCCUGAUUGUUAUCCCGUACUAAGCUAAGUAAUUGAAUUAUCGCUGAACACUUGCCUCGAGGACCGACAAUCAAUCAUACGCAAAUUGCGUUUUCAGUAAAAUAAUAAUUAAAAAAAAUUUUAUUAUUAAAUAUCUUUUUCACUCUUUCAUUAUUUUCAGCAAUAAUAAUUAAUGCCACUAAUAUUAAUUUUUAUUAUUAUGUAAAACAUACGUAAAAAAAAACGAAAUUGAAGUUUAUUCAAUAUAAAAACUUAUAAACUAAAAACAACAGAUUUGCUAAAGAACUUAAAAGUUUAGCUUAGCUGAACAUACAGAUCUAAGAAUAAUUUUUUUGUUGGAUUAUCUAUAAGCUAAUUAUGUGGAAUUCAAACUGGUUGUUAGAAUAACAAAAUUUUUAGCGGUAUUAUAAUUAUGUUUAAGCAUCUUACAUGAUUAUUUUGAUGGUCUAAAAAAAUUAUACUUAAUGCAAUUAUACUUACUCGGAGCACUUCAAGAUACCGUUCUCACAUUUUGAUCUUAGUCGUGUUAAAAAUAUGUCUCUCGUAUGAUUGUCGAUUUAAGGAAAUAAGUGUUCCGCGAUAAUUCCCAUAAUGUAUUCGCGACUGUAAGAUACACUCGCGCGAUCGAUUUCACUCGCCCAUUCCUUCUACAUCUCAAACGUCUGCUAUUAAUAAUAAUCGAUCGCUUGUGACGACCGAGCGCGCGCAUUAAAAAGGCUACGAAAGGCUAUACUUAGAAAUUAGUGAAACACAAUGACAGUGUACAUCGUCGGUGCUUCGAGUGGGCUUCGUCAAACUCUAUCAAUACGUACUUUCUCUCGCCGUGAAGGUUCGAAUAAAAAAUUGAGCUAAAAACGGCGACGUGGAGGGGGAGGGGUGGGGAGUAAGAAGGGCGACAGGGGGGGAAAAGAAUAAGACGUCAAGGCAAACAUCGGACACGUCGAAGGACAAGAGAUAUGAACAACUUCGCGAGGCGCGAACUCGCAUUUCUCUCUCUUUUCCUCCGUUUUCUCUUUCUCUAUCCUCUCAAUGGUGCCGAUCUUGGAUCUUGUGAAGUAUCGUUGACGAAUGCUACUUCACCGUCUUCUUACGACGACAUUAAGAAGUACGUAUACUUAAAUAAGACCUCAACGCGUUUCGCAAAAAGCAAGUUUCCAAGAUCCUACUCGCGAAAUAUUCGUGCGAUCUCGCAGAAAUACAAUUAAAUUCGUAAGUAAUGAUAGAAUUCUUGACACGAACAUUUCUUUUUUUUUUUUCCAGUAGAAAGAAGAUACUUUCCCACGACAGGUCGACAGAGAUAUUUUAAUAUACUUCUUACGCGCCCUUAAAAUACCGCUGAACAGACACCCUUAUACUCGACGGGACUUUCUUCUGCCCGAACGACGUGGCCUGUCAAGCGGAACAUCACGGUGUAACGAAAGGAUUCUGCCCGGGCGGUGCAGUGGGUGGGCACUUCUUCUACUUACCGAUUCGAUUUAAUUCGCAGGAAUUCGCAGAAAUUCCGAGGAGACUUCGGACAGCAUCGAGACUUAUCGUAGAUACGGUCUUUAGUUCGUCGAAGCGUUUUUUUCCCUUUCCGCUGACUGUCUUCCUCCGUUAAUCUAAUUGUCAUUCUCUCCCUCUUUUUUUUUCUCUCGAGCUCCCUUCCCCCCUCUCUUUCUCUCUCGCACGCAUACAUACACUCUUUAAUACACUAAGGAGCAUUAAGUAACUAUCUUAUCUCUGUCAAAAAAUAGGACAUUGUGUACGCAUCAUCGGUCCCGCAGUUCCUUGCUGGUCGCGCGCAUGUCUCGACCACUUUCGAAAAAGUCAACUUCUCCCAAAAA